UCGAGAAUCUUUCGCAAUGGGCGCAAGCCUGACGAAGCGACGCCGUGUGAGCGAAGAAGGCCUUCGGGUUGUAAAGCUCUUUCGCUAGGGAACAAGAAAGGGGCGAUAAUAACGCUCUGAUUUGAUGGUACUUGGUAAAGAAGCACCGGCUAACUCCGUGCCAGCAGCUGCGGUAAUACGGAGGGUGCAAGCAUUGAUCGGAAUUACUGGGCGUAAAGGGUGCGUAGGCGGAUUGGUAAGUCAGAUGUGAAAUUCCGCGGCUCAACUGCGGAGCUGCAUUUGAAACUGCCAAUCUGGAGCAUAGUUAGGGAAAACGGAAUUCCACGUGUAGCGGUGAAAUGCGUAGAUAUGUGGAAGAACACCAGUGGUGAAGACGGUUUUCUGGGCUAUAGCUGACGCUGAGGCACGAAAGCUAGGGGAGCAAACA
rnacentral:rRNA from 1 species